rnacentral:rRNA from 1 species
GAUGAACGCUGACGGCGUGCCUAAUACAUGCAAGUCGAGCGAACAGACGAGGAGCUUGCUCCUCUGACGUUUGCGGCGGACGGGUGAGUAACACGUGGAUAACCUACCUAUAAGACUGGGAUAACUUCGGGAAACCGGCGCUAAUACCGGAUAAUAUAUUGAACCGCAUGGUUCAAUAGUGAAAGUCGGUUUUGCUGUCUCUUAUCGCUGGAUCCGCGCCGCAUUAGCUAGUUGUUAAGGUAACGGCUUACCAAGGCAACGAGGCGUAGGCGAGGUGAGAGGGGGAUCGGCCACAUUGGAAGUGGGACACGGACCAGAGUACUAAGGGAGGGAGCAGUAUGCAAUCGGACGCAAUGGGCGAAAGCUUGACGGAGCAACGCGGAGUGAGUGAUGGAGGUCUUCGGAGCGGAAAACUCGGUUAUGAGGGAAGAACAAAUGUGUAAGUAACUAUGCACGUCUUGACGGUACCGAAUCAGAAAGCCACGGCUAACUACGUG